AGUGCUGACUGAAACCUGAGAGCUGAGAUGGCUGUAGUGUGGUCUGGAUAUGAACCACUGACCAGGUAGAAGACUUGCAAAUAUUUUCUCCUGUUUCAACUCUGUUGAUCUCUGUCCCUUUUUACAUACAAGUUGGAGAUUCGUUGUUUCUUUCUUUCUUUUUUUUUUUCUUUUUUUGACAAGGUUUUGCCACAUAGCCCAUGCUAAACUAUGUGCACCCUCCUUCCUCAGCACUCUAAAUGGUGAGGUCACAAACACGCCACCAGGCCUGGUUGUGUAAAACUUUGAACUCUGACAUCAUCCAGCUCUUCUUCUGUUUCUUAUGCUUCUGGUGCAAUGUGGAUCCAUUCAAGAAAGUACUGUGAAACCUCAUCCCAAGGCCUUUGCCUCCAUUUUGUUCUAACAGCUAACUAAGCUAUUUCAUGGGCUUUAAUUAUUCUUUCCUAGCGAUCUGAAAACUUUUCACUUAUGCCUGCAUCACCUCUCACAGAAAGCUCCUCUCUGAGGUCUGUAAAUGUGAGCUCAGAGGGCCUUAACUUCCUAACAGAGACUCAACUGUGUACAGGGGCACAGACACCAACAAGAAUGUAAGUUACAAUAGACCAAAGAGGGGGUACCAACGCAGGAUGGGAAAGAGGACUGUCUCAGAGAUGACAGUAACAGUGAGUUAUAGCUUGUCAGCUCCAGGUUUGUGUUACCAAUCUGAAGAACAACGUAAGCUCUUCAGAGAAAUCCAGGAAGUCCAGUUUCAGGGAUUGCUGUUAAAGCAGGUGCACGGGUAUCUACCCAAAGUUUCCUCUCUUGGAAUUUUAAUGAAGUUUCUAUGCUUGCCAACUAAAGUUACUGCUUUCCCCACCCUCUAUUGCCUGGAUGCUCUCACUAUUAUUGUUGUUAUGUAUCAUGAAUCAGGAUCCCACCGUGUAGUCCACCCUGCCUUGGAAUUCACCAUCCUCGCAACCUUUCCUCCCAAGGGUUGGGAAGACAGGCAUUCACCACCAUGCCCAGAUUUUUUAUCAUCUUGUAAACCAACUGACUCCAAGGCCCAAGGGUGCUGGCUAUUUACUAAAAUAUUUAUUAAGUAAUGCUUCUGAGAUGCAAAGCUACCAACUCCACUGGAAGUGUCUUCUUAAGGUAGAUAUGAAUAAACUACACUUGGUAUCACAUCUACUUAUAAGGAUACUGGCCUAGAAACGAAGCAUGCCAGAGCAAGCCACACGCCAUUUCUCUUCAAGAAAUCACAAGAGCAGGUCACAUGGAGGGCAAGGAAUUAGCCUUCACUUGGUACUCCUGGAGACACCUCGGGUUCAAGGCACCAAAACUCACAUCUAGUAUGUUUGAAGAAGACACAUAGGGAGAUAGUUUAAGAUUCGACCAUAGCUCUGAGUGUCAUUGAAAACUCUGAGAACUGAUCACAACUGUUUACAGCAGCUAUACCUAAGGGACUGAUGGGGAGACCGGAUGUGGAGAGACUCUAACAUUCCACUGACAGAAGGAUAAUGGAACAGGUAACAGCUAAUUCCAACUGUCAGAAACAUUUUUACUAGCUACAGUUUUAAAUAUUUUUCUCGUAUUGACUUUUGAUGUGUUGAUCAUCAAUCCUAAUGAGCGUGUCUGUCCCUAGGACCACAGACAAUGGUCUACACAAAGCCGGAUUCUGGGCAGGGAACACUCCGAGUCUGAAAGAGGGUGUAUCAGCUAGCAGUGCUGGCACAGGCAACAGUAAGUACUUUUAGGAGGAAAAAAAAAAGGUACCCACAGAGCUUACUUAGUCCAGUCCACAGCUCCAAAGGACUGCACUGCAUCUUGUAAUGCUUUCCAGGAGGGUAAGGGGGACUCGUCCGCAGUUAACCGACAACUACAGAGAGCACUUUUCAGAGACGUGGGAUAAGAAGCAACAAGAUACCAUCCAUCUGUCUCGAAGCCCAUCCUAAUUCCACUGUCACCAGCCUAUGUCAGGAAUGAGGACAAGGCACAGGAUUGUGUUAGAAGCUCAAAUCUAUUAAUAGCUUAGAAACAGCUUUGUUUAAGUUUCACAGCCGUUGCAGGACCUAGAAUGAACAAAAUCCCACUCGUGAGAAAGUGAAAAACAGUGAGGAGAAUACUUCAUCGACUGACCAGCCUGGACGCCUGCAGGCACUGAGGCACUGGCACACACGGUGUGCACACGGACGGCAUGCUCGGGUGGUCCAGAAAACACAUUGGCAAAGGGAACUGCCAAACACCCAGGUGAGCUUUGAACUUAGAAGUGUGACGGAGUGCUGGAGAGAUGGCUCAGCUGUUAAAGGCAAACGGGGACAGGAGACAAACCACGAAGGGCUCAGACUGCCCUGCUAAAGCAGCUGGAGAGAGACUGGUGGGGGAAGGGGAGAGGCACAUGCGCAGCUCAGGAGGCUUCUGGGGUUACUUGAGGAAGACGUGAAAUAAUUCUACUCUAACCUGAAAGUCUGGAGAUACAACACCAAAUUCCGUCCAGGACGAAAGAAAGGGAAGAAAAGCCAGGAAACGCAGCGUGUCUGCACAGUAAACUGGAGGACACAUGCACCAAGCCUGAGAACGAGCAACGGUAAGGAGUGAGCUAUAAACCACAGAAGGCCGGGAAGACGAGAGCCACGGGAAAGGAAUAACUUGGAAAGCUGCGCUUGGAGCGAAGAGAUGGAACCCAGUGAGAGGAUUUACGUUUAAAGGCAGGUUAAAACCUCUACCUGGCUUUAAUGUCCUCACCAAGAAGAGGAGAAGGAAGAGAAAAUGAAAUUUACAAGGAGUUACUGUAUUUCACGGACUCCGAGGCUGUGUCCUCGUAACACCUCAAUUCAACAGCCAACGGAAGCAUCCAGAUGGUGGGUGACAAGUGGACUUCCCAUGGACUUAAAGUCUGACCCACAAGUGUUACUCUCUCUGAUCUCAACCGGAAAGACGGGACAUGGACAGUCAGUGAUGGGCUGAUGGCUGCUGGUCCAUCGGGUCCACAGCAGAAGGAACUCCACCUACUCACAAUGCAAGUAGUUUACCUUUGCAGGGAGCAGCACGCGGAGGAUCAGCAUUAAACAGGACCUGAUUCACACAAAAAAGGCGUCCCAUUAUUCCACAAACGUUGCUACAUAUUUACUCCCAGGAAAGGCCCUUUCCACUCAGAAAUCCACAGAACACAAAUUUUGAGUGCGGAUAACUUACAGACUACAGAAAGAGGGACAGGAGUACAACCAGUCAUUGCAAACCCACGUGGUGUGUGAUGAGGCUGAAACGGCUGUAGAAGCCGUGCAGAUCUGCGAGGAGGAAAGAGGGUGAGAGGAAGCACGAGGGAGGGGGAGGAGGGAGCCAAGGUGCAUUUUGAAACUGAGUAGGAAUUUUCCAGACAGAUGGGGAAGGGAGCACUCCGGGCAGAGGAAACCGCCCGCCUGAGAGCGCAGAGGCAUGAAAGAGUGUAUUUAAGGAACUGCAAAUAAUCAGACAGGGCUGAUUCUAGGGCGGAACUUCAAAGAGAUAGGUGCCAAGGAGACGCGGGGAUAAAGAGAUGGCUGUCCCGAGAAUUCAGGGGACCUUACACUUUGCUCCACAAGGCAGCGUGUAGUUACAAGGACGCCUCGCAGUAAGGCCCCGGUGUAACCAGCCGAUCACACUGAAGGCCAGAGGGAAAGGCUGGGGCACAGCAGUGCGGAUCCAGAGAUGAGCCCUUGCCAUUAAAUUGCCUCCUGCUGCCAUGGCAACUCUGCGGUAAGGCUUUUUUGGAGCAAGAGGUGGCAAACAGAUCCCAGGUCUGCUGGCUGCCUCCUGCAGGAUCUGGCUUCUCUCCUCUCUAAUCAAGCUCUGCGGCACUAAAGCUGAGAAGCUGGUGGCAAAGCCCCUCGGAUGCUUCCGCUUUAGUGAGUCCUGACACAUGUCUUCCCCAGAGGGGAAUAAAAAUGGAGUCUGAUCACUUGUCCAAUUAUUACCUGGAAUCAGUUUAUAAUGUAUAGCUCCUUUCUACAGAGUGUGUUGCCCUGAGUGAGUCACCAAAAGGAAAUACACAGCAGUGACGUAGGCCCUUCUGCUACUGCCAAAUAACAGUGUUGCAGGCCUUCUGCUGAUGCUAAAUGUAGGCUGCAGAGAGCCUGAGGAUCUGUUCCCCACACUCAGAAGAGUCCUGCCCAAAGAGACCUCUUACCUCCAUGUGGGGGUUGGGAAGGACUGCAGCAAGGCAAGUCCAGGCAUCGCACCAGGCUAGGAACCAAGUGUCCCAAGGAGGGCCAUCUUAUUUAGAACUAUGGGAAGAGCAUACCUGAAAUAGGCUAUCGAACCCAGCUAACUACAACACACCAUUAACUAGAACACGUUUGGCCCCCAACAUUCUGGAACAACAGAAUUAGGAGAGAUUGGCGGAGCACAGUGACUUGAGUGUAGACAGUGAUCUAGGAAGCUGUACGAUGGUUGCGACAGUCCCCCUCUGCCCAUAAGCACGUGCACUUCUACAGUUUCAGUAUCUGUCCCUGAAGAUUCCACGCCCAAGGGUGGGGAUGUAGCACUUGCUUAGUAUGUAUUCAAAGGUUCAAUACCCACUCAAGCAAAAAGCACUAAAAACAAAGACGAUAGAGCGCUCUUUGAGAUUCGUCACCAUGGCAGCCUUAGAAAGACAGAGCUUUAAGUGGUGACCAGAGGAUCAUGUCCUGCUGUCAUGAACAGACCAGGGGCAGCAUUAGGAGACACAGGGGCUGAGACUGGAAAGUGCUAAUCUAAGGUCAACCUAAACUAGGCUGUGAAACCCCGUCCCUCCAAUACGGAAGAGAGAGAGAGAGAGAGAGAGAGAGAGAGAGAGAGAGAGCAAGAGCGCGAGAGAGAGAGCGAGCGAGCACGCGAGAGCGCAUUUUAUUUGCUCCUCAACACUUCCAUUCAUUUAUCUGUUUUAUUAUCUAUCUCUACCACUAGAAAUCAACUCUGGAAGAGCAGAGCCAGUUGACUAUUUAAUCCAUUUCUAUAUCCUCAGUGCCUAAAUAAUUCCUGGAAUGAAAAAAGCAAUCCAUAAUCAUUUAUGGAAUCACUGAAAAGAUGGUGCUUUGUGUACAUUUUACCAGGUGAAGAUGAGGUGGAAAGGAAGUAGGGGAGAAGGUAUUUAAGGUCGAAAUAGUAUUCUUCAAGAUAAAAAUUUUAAACACGUUCUCUGCCAGAUACAGAGUUAAGUAAAGAAUAUAAUUAUAAAUAUGCCCGUCCUAGCCAGGCAGGCAUGCGGCUCAUGCUUCUAAUCCCAGCACUUGAGAGGCUGGGGCAGAAAGUCUGAAGUUCAAGGACAGCCUAGGUUAUCGACAGAAUUCAAAGCCAGCCAGAUGUUCAUGGCAAGAUCCUACCUCAGAAACCAAACCAAACCGACAAGAGGGAGUAGGUACACAGUCUCCCUUCCCUGUCUUCACGGCAUAGAGAGGAAGGAGCUGUGGGCAAUGUAAAUGCCUCACCUGGGAAAGGAGGCCAGUACAGGAAGAUCAGAUGAGUCUCAAGUGGCAUCCUAAGGGGAGGGACCUAGAGAGUAGAAAACUAAAGCAACCACACGAUGAGCAAGAGUCAUACCAGAGCAGGUACAGCCACAGAGAGGAGAACAUGGAAAAGGUUAGCAUGGUUGAUGGGGACUGCAGUGAAGGAUGCAGAGGUUGAAGGUUUCAGAGGCAGGACAGUGGAGUUCCUCCUCAAGAUGGAAAGCUGUUGGGAGCUCACCUGCCCUGAUGUGGAAAAUGAACAACAGGUGACGAACGGGCAGGCGGGAAGGAGCUGAAGGAUUUGUACCACGAAAUGACAGCUGAGGCUAGGCUAAGAAUGGAGAUGAAAGGAGGAUUUCACAGGUACUCAGGAGCGAGGAAGACCCUGCGAUGAUGUGAUAAGGAAGAGAAGAACAUCCCAGUCUAACCAGGAUGGCUGGGCCAUUACAGUUUGUAACCGUGUUCCACUAAGAACAAAACCAAACCAAACCAUGAGUCUUGGGCACUGUGGUCUAUGCUAAUAAUCCUAGCACUCAGGAGGGUAGAGAUUGGAGAAUGUUAGCCCCAAAACAGCUUAAGUUACACAGCAAGAUUGUCUCAGAAGACGCAGACAAAAGGGACAGUGCACUCUUAGAAAGCCCCAGUUUGGUGCCCUUAAUAUAUUAGUUACCAACAAAAACAUGCAAAUGGAGAAGCCAGAGAGAUCAAUUCCAGGUAGCUGCAGUGUCUGUUUCCUACUUACACAUGUACCAAAAAGAGAGAAAACAUGCUGGAGAACCCAGGAGCGGUUCCCAGCACCCACAGCACCCUUAACUCUAAUUCCAAGGGCUCUGAUGACCUCUUCCGACCUCCACCAACUACAUAGGCUCACCUGCACACAGGAAAUAAAUCUAAGCAAGAGAGAGGGUGAAUGUUAGAAUAAAUCCAACAUCCAUUGACUGUAUCUUGUGCAAAACUGAGAUAAGAAAAUAAAUAAAAGCACUUUAUAAAAAUGUUCAAUGAGAGCUACCAAAAAUAAUUUUUCUACUUAGCAAAGGUAACUGGAAGACUACCGAAGCCAAAUCUGCUCUCAAUACCAUGGUCAGAAGGAGAAAAUCUCAACUUUUCAAACAAUCACAACAAAAAAUACUAUUAGGUCAUGCAACAAUGACAAAGGAAUUUGUUUCUUCUUAGUGUGAAAACUUUAUUGAUACAUAAUUAACAGGCCAUAAAGUAAACCUGUACAAACUCUGCCUUUUCCUUUAAGAGUCACUAAGGGUCUCACUAAGUUGCCCUGGCUGGUCUCAAAUUCCUUGGCUCAGGGAUCCUCUUUCUUAGCUAAGCCUUCUCAGUGUUGUGACUGUCGGUAGGGCUAAGGACUGUGACUAUGAGGAGGCCUAGUGGCCUCCAUAUACUCCUACCGCAUGGGCGACCACAUAUUCCCCAGUGGUCAACCAGUUCAAUGUUUUUAAGUAUAUAUUACUGAAUUAUUUAUCAUGAAAAAUCUUACUCUGAAGUAUUUCCAUCCCUGAAGAAACUGCAUGUCUACGGUCAUUGCUCAGUUUUCUGAACUGCCCACCCUUCCUUAGCGUAAGUUCAAAGCUCAGCAUGUUACACUGUAUGCUUCGAUAUCUCAUUCCGAUUAUGCAUACAAAUCCACUGUGCCAUUUUUUUCCUUUGAGAGUUAUUAUCAAUUAUAUUGCUAUCAACAUCCAUAUGUAUGCCUCUGUGUGUACACAUGUCUUUAUUUCUUUUAGGCAGGUUCCAAGAAGUAGACUUGCUAGGUCAUAAAGUAACCAUGUUGGACAUUUUGAGAAAUAGUCCAUUUUUAACAGGGCGGCUAGUCCAUCUUCAACUCCUAUUAUAAUACACGGGUUUCCAAUUUCUCCAAAUCCUUAUGCAUAUCAUUACGGGUAUCAACUGAUGAACGGAUAACCAAAUUGUGGAAUAUCCAUACAACAAAAUAAUAUUAAAUGAUCACCUUUCUAGUUGAAGAGAAAGGAGUAAGUCUCUGGCUCUGCUUUGCAUUUCACUGAUGGCUAAUGGUGUUCAAUGUCUUUCACAAGCCUCUUUGUGCACACUGCCUUUCAGUUCCUUUGGACAGAUGUCCCUUGACACUCUUGCCCACAGAUUUCUAUCCAUUUGUACCAAGGACAAAAUAAUGAAGCACCAGAUAGUGUCACAAUACUAUGAAAAAAUAUUAUGAGAAAUAAAGUUAAAUCGUAAGGAUAAAAGACCAUUUAGGAGACAAUGUAGGAGCAAAAGAUCAGAGGCUGCAGGACAGAGGCAACAAGGAAACAAAGCAAAACGUGUGCACACUCGGAAGACAGGCUUGUUGCCAGAAUAGGGGGUUUCGACUCGGCUGAGUUGAUUUGAUAGGGAGAGCAAUUACAGAUGAUGAGAAGACCAAACGGAGAUGCUGUAGCUAUGGAAGAGUAAAUCCUGAAAGCAUUCACUGAGAAAAAUGUAAAUGCCUCCCAGGGCUAGAGUGAGAAUCAAUGGGGCAGGAUGUGGUAAAGAGCUUUGUAAGCAUCAUAUACAUGGGCUAAAAGCCUUCCCAUCUGGAUUGAAAUCGGAAGCACCAACAACUUCCAACCUCCUUCUAGAGAUGAUGGCGAUGAUGAAGACCACAAACAGCAGCUAACAUUUACAGUUCCAGGUACUGUGCUAAGUCUCUUACCUCACUCUCACAUUUACUCCUCCAAAACACCACUGUGUGUCCUUACUAUCAACAAGGCUCUUUGAGCCCAAAACUAUUGCUGCUAUUUUCUACAGUGCAAACUCUUCCUUAAUUCCUCUCCAGUGGAGCUGCCUGUGAAGAUACCCUCAACUGCAUGAACAAUUCAACUCAUCACAGAAAAAUGGAAAAUGCUCUUUCCAUUGUACUACUUUUAUCUUUUUUUAUUAGAGAAUCAAAAUUUUCAUAAUUGAACGUGCCAACCUGGGUGUGACUUAAUUUCUUUAUUGCUUCAACAAUGUACAAAUUAUCCCCUCUCUUCAAUGACAUACGAUAUUCAUUUCAAAAUAUUUAAUUCUUCUGGAAUUUAGUUUGUAUGGUAUGAGAUUAAAACAGGUCUUAAUGUGGUAUCUAUCAUAUUACCAUCUAGCCCAAUAUUUUUAAUUUAAUUUUUUUGUUGUUAAAUGAUUCUUGCUUUCACAUAACCUACUUCCCCUGAGUUUUAGUAUGUCACUUCCAUUCUGAUUCCAUGGCUGUAUGGACCUACGUUUAGACAGUUCUUAGAACAUACUCUUGGGACAUGAUAGUCUAGAGCAACAAGCCCUCCACCCUUUGCUUCCCUACAAAGAAUCUAACAAUGAAAACUAUAGAUACAGAUCGAUCUUUAUGAGAACUCCUCAGUCUCACGUCUUAUCUGGCCAGUACGACAAUUGCCAACAGGCUAUUGUUUUGCAGGGUGGAGAUGAGCUUGAGCCUUAGACCUGCAAGGUAAGUGAGUCACUCCUCCACCCCUCCAAGUGCCAACACUUAAAGCUCAGAGCUGGAAAGACGGCCUAGAAGUUAACAGUCCUUGUUCUUGAGGGAGACCUGAAUAUAAUCCCUGGCAUCACCAUGGCAGCUCACAAUCAACCAUAACUGCAGUUUUAGGGGAAUCUAACACUUUCUCUUGACGUCUGUGGGUACCAUGCACACUUGUGAUACAUAGACAUAUAUGUACUUAAAACACUUAUAUACAUAAAAUAAAUCUAAAAAUUCAUUUAAAAUAAAAAUCAGAAGAUUGGCAGGCCUUUCUCUUCUUGAGUGUUCUCCUCACUCUUCUUUAACCUGUCAACAGGUAUCUGGCCUCAGUUGAAAAAUGGGCUGACUUUUUCCGGGGAGAUGACUCAGAGUGGUUAAAGCCUUGCUGUAGAAAUGAGAGGAGCAGAGUUCAGAGCUCAGAUCCCCGGAAUCCAUGUGAACAGCUGGUGGGCAUGCUAGUUUACAGGUAGUUCCACCCUUCAAAGGCAGAUUCUUAGCGUACGUAAGCUAAUGACUCACUAUGUAAGUGAGCUCUGGGUUCAACCUGAGAACUUGUCUCAAAGACUGAGAUGAAAGAGGGCUGCCAGCACCCGCCUUGGAUGUCAUGUACAUGUGCACACACACACACCCCUACUCAAGAACAUGCCUAUACACACACGCUGCACACAUACACAUGAAGAGAAAAACAACCCUAGUGUCAAGGUCUUCUCUGCAUAUAUCUAUAUCUGAGCAAGAGCCACACAAAACCACUAUGUAUGGAGUUCAAAGUACCCAGUAUCUCCUAGGGUCUUUACGCCUAGUCUAUUUAUGUAACUACAAUGUUUGCCUGGUGGCUUUGGGGUUUUCAACCUCUAGUGAAACCCACAAGCCUCUCUUUCUGUUUUCAAAGUCAGAGAAUUCACAGCUCCUUUGAUAUUCAACUUCAGUAACUACACUUAGCCUAGACAUCUGGUCUACCCUCUCAAACACACCCACUGCAUGGCUCGAUCUCUUCCUUUCAGAUACCAGUCUACUGUUUUACAAUGUAUGCAUUUUCUUUUAAUACUCUGAAAUUACUUGUGAACAAGGAUAAUUUUUAAAAGCAUUCCUCAUUUGAGGAAAAUCUUAUCUGCUUUUUAUGAUUUAUACCAUCAACCAGGAUUAAGUCACCAUCCCAUUGGGGUCUUAAACUGGUACCGUAUUAAGUCUAUAAAUUAACUUUGGUUAUAUUGUUAUAUUUACUGCAUUAAGACUACCCACUAUGUGGAGAUUUGAUGUUUAUUAUUGUUCCAUUUUCCUUCUAUUAAAAUAUUAUAAUUCUCUGCACUUGGCGAUAUAUAAAUAUGCAUGUAUAUAUGAGGGUACAUGGACUUUACUGUAAAAAAUAAGUACUCUAUUUUUCAUUAUAUUUUCAGCAUAAUAAUAAAAUAAAUGACUGAAUCUGUUUAGGCAUAUGCUUUAUAACUUGCAAUUCAAGCGUUGAGGUUAGGGCACAUUUUGUUGCAGCCCCUAAACAGCAUUGUAGCCCCUUGUAUUACUUUUCUUUCUAUUGGCAUCCAUACAUUCCAGUUAUUCCCUAUGUGAUUUACUGCACCUAGUUAUUUAAAACAAUGGUAUACAAAGGCAGAAUCCUGUUUGUUUUAGGUAAAUUAUUUCUACCUCUAUAUAACCUUGGUAACUGCCCUUACCCAAGACUCCUUUUAUGCCUUCAAGUUUGAAUUUUCAACAAAAGAUGCCACUGAGGAAGACAAUUCUUUCUGAUAAAUCCUGCUGAGACACAUGAAUCUUUCUUUGGGGCAGGGGCAUCAAUUAUAUCUAUUUUUCACACCACCUAAAUUGUCUAAAAGUACUCACAAAGAUAAGGACUUAAUUAAAAGCUCUUAAAUAAAACAUAGAGAAAAAUCUUUGUGACUUUAGGGUUAAGUAAUAAGGUCUUAGAACAGAAAAUAGCACAAGCCCCUAAAAAAAUCAUCAAAAUUGAAAACCUUUUCUUACCAAAAGAUAUAAUUAGGAGAGCUGGGGAGAUGGCUCCAUGGGUAAAGUGCUUGCCACACAAGCCUGAAGAUCUGAGAUCAAUCAGAAGAACUAUGUUUUAAAUAGCUCAGUGUGGUUAGAAGAAAGAAAAAAAGAAAGAAGGAAAGAAGGAAAGAAGGAAGGAAGGAACCUUGUAAUCUCAACUCUAGUUUAAUGGUUCUAGCAAAAGUCCACAUUGAAAAAAGAAUUAGAAUAAGGAGGAGGAAGAGGAGAAGGAACAGGAAGCAUAAGAAGGAGGAGGAAGAAAAAAAAGGAAUGAAGGGAGGGAAGAAGGGAGGGAAAAAAAGAAGAGGAGGAGGAUCACUCAUAAGAAACACCAUCCAAGAUGGACCAGACCACUAACCCACACACACAGGACAUUGAGAAAAUAAAAAUUAGGGCACUGGAAAGAGCUAGCUCAGUGGUCAGUGGUUAAGAACCCUUGCUGCUCUUACAGAGGACCUGACUUUAAACUCCUAGCACUCAUACCUAAUUCAGCUACACGGGAUCUGACACUCUUUUCUGGUCUUCUUGGGCAUAUGAUUGAGAGCAUUUGUGUUUGUGUGUGUGUGUGUGUGUGUGUGUGUGUGUGUGCGCGCGCGCGCGCGUGUGUCCCCCAAAAAACAAAAGGGUCAAAUGUAGACUAUAGAAAAUAUCACCAAAAAUAUGUAACCAGAAAAGGUCAUCAGAUCAUAAAGGACUUCUAUUGAGAUUAUAAAUCAUUCUUGAAAUUCUUUUACCAAAACCAAAUCGCUAUAAAAUGUGUGAAAGGCUACUUCAUAAAAGACAGGUGAACUGUCAGUCACUGCUUUAAAAGAAGUUCAGCAUCGAUGGUCAUUAAGAGUAUGGGAACUCAGAACAAAUAAAGACUGAAAAAUGAAAUGUAGUUACAACCACAAGACAAUGUGGUACUAUUAUACACCCACCAGAACAUCUAAAAAUACACAACACAGAAUGCCACAAGGAGACACACCAAUUAGGACCCUCCCACUUUGGUAAGAGAGAUGCAAACGGCACAACUUGGAAACAGUGUGAACCACCCAAAUCCUAGCAUCCCCCUGAGAACACUGAAAUAUAGACGUGUCCUUGCAGAACUGUGUCCAGAAGCUUCCAGACCAGCAUGACUCGUGAUGGCAAGAGAGUAGUUUAUACCUUAAAAGAGCUGCAUAGGUAAAAUAUAAUACACUCACACAGUGAAAUGUUACCUAGCAAUUUUACAAGGAAUAAACUAGUGGCAUAUCUAUAAAACAUAAGUGCACGUUAAUAACAUUUUUUAUGCUGUGUUUAAAAAAGAAGUCAAACACAAUCCAGGUAUGGUGGCGCCUGUAUUAAGAAAAAAAAAAAAGAAGAUGCAGACGAACAUAUCACAUGUUUUCAUGUGUAAGAAUCCUAUGACAGAAAGCAGAUCCUGGCUGCUUGGGUUAGCUGGGAUAGAGGAGGGCCUAACUGUAAAGGAGUGCAAAGUUAUUUUCUAACAACAAAAGAGAUGUGGACCAUUGUAGAUAGUGCUUAAACGUAUAUAUUCACCAACAUGGUAAUUUGGUAUGUUAUUUUAUUAUAUGUAAAUUAUACUUUAAUAAAACCAUAAAAUAUUUAAAACUUCCUCAUGAAAAUGCUCUUGGCAAAAUCCUAUUUACUCUAUAGCACUGGUGUUAGGUAAGAAUUCAACUUUAUUCAGAGAGAUGGCUAAACUUUGCUCUUGGUUCCUGGGAGUUACUCUGUGUAUCUUAGAGGAGUGUCUUUGUUUAACUGGGUCUCGGGUCAUGACACACAGCCUUACAGCACGAUUUAUGAGGAAGGCGGAUACUGUAGGGACUGAUUAUUCUAGAAAGACCAACAUCAUUGUGCAGAUGAGGAGUUGGAUGGGGGGGGGGGGAGUAUCCAUGUGACCCGUGUGCACAGGGCUAAAGAGUAAGUAAGUCAUCUGUAUGAUAAAGACAAUGGAAUGGUAAGCGCCUGGGUUGAGGUGAGCUUCCUAGUUGCCCAUACUCCGUAUUUUACACAUCAGUGCUAGGCAAGUGGUACACUCCACCUCCACCUUGCUCCCUUCUUCCCACAGGUAAGAACAAUGUAUUCUUGGCUCUCCCACAUCCUCUAUGUGGAAUAUAUUGGAAACGUGACUACAAAUAGCUUUCUGUGACUUCUGUGAGUUCUGGCAAAUUCUUGAGCCCAAGAGCAAUUACUGAGCUCUGCACCCACAUCUGGCAUUGGAAGUAUGGAUGGUCAUGGGAAAACUGAAUGCCUUUUAGCUCCCCAGAUGCCCUCAAUUCAGAUCCAGAUACACUCACACCCAUGGACAGGUGUAAAACGAUGUCUAUGAAACUCCUGGUUGAAGUGGUUAAUGAUUAACCCGAUAUGUUACAAAGGUCUUUCAAAGUCUUAAAAAAAGAAAAAAAGCCCAGAACCAAUAGAUGAAGCUGAUGCCGCAGCUGCGUACCUUAGACAUGGCGGCUGUGUACACUGGUCCUGAAUACGGGAACUAAUCGCCCUGCCUUGCUGAGCUGCAUGCAUGCGGUCCGACCCUGCUAAGGAGGGCUACGCUUUCCUAAUUGGAGUCUGUAAACUAGUCGACUUCUACCUCUCACAUUCCCUGAAGAUGAGUAUACAGUUGGUGUCCUUCGCAGACUGCUAACUGUAUUAGUCACAGCAAGUAUUAUGAUGGUGGGCAGAAUUUCACUAGAGCGUCUCUCUUUUUUUAAAUUAAAGCUAAGAAAAUAAUGGGAUAACAAAAUCUAACGAAAAUAUUUUCCAAGUAUGCCGCCAAAAACUUGCCUUUUGAUAAUUGAGAUUUUUUUCCAACUUCUACUCCUAUGAGAGAAAAUGAGUAAGAAAAAUUGCAUAGAUGAUACAACAAGUUUCAAUUCAAUCCUAGGCGUUACCAUCUCUGAACGCUGAUGAUGUUUGUGGGACGGGAAGUCUACAAAUGCAGGUUCGCUUGAGGUCUCCAUCUCACUGUUCAAUGAGAAGGGUGUUCCUUCUCAUUUUAUGCUCAGGAGAGAGGCAGCAGGCUAAGGUCGGCAUCUAAAAGCAUCUUGAUGGGAGAACGGGGUUGGUGAUUUCCUUCAGAGUGAAAGAAAAAUGCUCAAAACUGAGAAUAUCUCACAGACUAGGAACAUGUCCACCUAUUUAGGCUAACUGUGGAGCAAGCAGGUAAGCUGCUAAGUUCCUCAGAAGAACACUGCAGAACUCAAGCUCCAGCACAACGAACAAGCGUACUACACCUCAGAGAGAAGCUGCCUCAAUGCCAUGGAGAGUUGGAAGUUUCCUCCCACGUAUACCCGUCCUUACCUCGCAUCAGCUUGGCCCGCAAGAACACCAACCUGACAGACUGUAACCUUGAACUGAACCUCACCCUAUGAAACAGGGGCUCUAUAUCUGACUAAAAUGACUCUGUUCCUAAGACCUCCUCCAUCUCUGGCUGAGGCUCUUUAACCUACAGCCAAGAAGUUGCCCUGAGGGAAGGCUCGUAAUGGAAAGGUUUGCACUGGAGCAAGGUAUCUUGAGCCGCAGAGAAUAGGUUCGUGUUAGACACUAAAAAUGACUCCUUGCGUAAUAAGCAAGGAAACAUGGCCGAGUCCUAAAGCCACAUUGAACUGAAUUCUUGGCAGGAAGAUUUGGUGGGAAGAAGACCCAUUCCCCAGAUCUGCAAAAAGGGAACUGCAGCAUGGACACGGCUUUGAGUCUAGCCUGGGAAACCUGGAAUAGAGAACCAGCAAAGCCAGCAACUUCCGGUUUACAGAACCCCAUUGUUUUGAGUCUCUAGGUUACAGUGUUCUGCUGCAACAGCAAUAAGUAAACUGAAAUAAUGGCGGUUUUGGUCCUUCCAUUCAGCUGCCCUGCUCUUCUCUCUUCCGCAGUUGCGAUAGGAACCCAGGACAGCAGUCACAAUGGCUAGCACUCACACAGGAUGGAGCUGCUGCCAUCCAUCACUCCUGCAUUUGUCUUCCUCGCUAAAAUAGGAGCUCUUCAAGGACAAGGGCUGUGAAUGCCUCUGUUGUUAAUUUCGUGCACAUAAUACACUUUAUGUGUAAAGAAAUAACUUGGAGAAAAUUAAAUCUAGCCAUUGUUCAAGAGCAGCAUUAAUAUUUCCGUGUCAUUCUGUAACUGUUUUGUACAUUCAUACAAGUAUCUAUAAAAUUGGCCUCUGUGCAUUAUAAGUAUUGAUUUUUUUUCCUUAAUAAUGUACACGGGCAUUCCACAUACGGGGCAGCCCCACCCUUACUUGGGGCUACUGGGUCUCAGACCUGUUCUGCCAUCAUAAGCUCCUGAGCCCUAAAACAUUCCAUUGGCUACACUUCCUCCAGCUAUAGCAUCUUGACUGUAAGGUUUUAGGAAGUUCUAUUAUUUUCACCAGUUUACAAAAAUUUCCAUGAAAUAAAAAGUUAAGUCUAUGUAGCUCAAGAGUACAUUUUGUUUUAAGUGUAGAAUAGAGUUUAUUCAGGACAUGGGGAGGGGAGUAGAAAGGAGAGGUAGUAGAGACAGAGAAAGGCAGAGGGGGGGGGGGGAGACAGACCAAGAAAAAGAGUUCACUAGUGAAUAAUUGAAUUGAACCAAAUGUUCCUUUUCUUCAGCCGUUUAGGCUACUUCCUAUUUUAUUAUCACUAAAAGUAGCUUGUAGCAUACAACCACUUUUCAAUGAAUGUAGGCUAAGGGCUAAGUAAAAUAACUAAAAUUUUUUAAUGUCAUUCAUUCAUUCAAUAUCUGUAGAUGCUUUGUCCAUGUGCAUGUCUGUACAUCAGAAGAGGGCACUGGAUCCUAGGGGACUACAAUUAUAGAUGGUUGUGAACUGUCAUGUAGGUGUUGGGAAUUAAACUCAGGAGCUCUGGAAGAGCAGUCCUUAACUGCAGAGCCAUCUCUCUAGCCCCAAAUGAAAAAAAUAUUUGGCAGUGGUGGGGCAGACCGGAUGGAGACAUGGUCUCUCUAAUAGCCGAGGCUGGCCUGGAACUCACAAAGAUCUGCAUGCCUCUGCCUCCCACUGCUCAGAUUAAGGACUUUGCCACUAUGCCCAGUCAGAAUUUUCAAGAAAAGUGAAUAAAAGCCCUUGGGCACACAACAAUCUAUGUCAAGCCAAAAGGGAGGAGAAAGGUGCUAGUUCUAGGCACAGAGAGCCUAAGGAGUCUUAAAACACCCCCCCCCUUUUUUUUUAAUCAAAUUUUACCUGUAUUUUUUUUUCUUUUUCAAAAGGGCCAAGGAUUUUCAGUGAACAAGAUUUGAAAACUCUUGAUACAUUUUCCCCACGAGAUGUAAAUUACACCAGGCAAAAAGGCACACAACUAUAAUCCCAGCACUCAGGGGUCUGAGGCAGAGGGACUGUCUGAGGUUAGCUGGCCUAUACAGCAAGACUGUCUCAGAAACAAGAGCAACAACCAAAGCAGAUAACAGAUAUAAUACAUGAUCUCAAGGUCCCUUGUAAGCAGACAUGGCAAGCUGCUGG